rnacentral:rRNA from 1 species
UACGUAGGUGACAAGCGUUGUCCGGAUUUAUUGGGCGUAAAGAGCUCGUAGGCGGCUCAGCAAGUCGGCCGUGAAAGUCCGGGGCUCAACCCCGGGAUGCCGGUCGAUACUGCUGUGGCUAGGGUCCGGUAGAGGAGAGUGGAAUUCCCGGUGUAGCGGUGAAAUGCGCAGAUAUCGGGAGGAACACCAGUAGCGAAGGCGGCUCUCUGGGCCGGUACCGACGCUGAGGAGCGAAAGCUAGGGGAGCGAACGGG